UACGUAGGGUGCGAGCGUUGUCCGGAAUUAUUGGGCGUAAAGAGCUUGUAGGCGGUUUGUCGCGUCUGCUGUGAAAACUCGAGGCUUAACCUCGAGCUGUCGGCGGAAACCAUCUGGCUAGAGUCCGGAAGAGGAGAAUGGAAUUCCCGGUGUAGCGGUGAAAUGCGCAGAUAUCGGGAAGAACACCCGUGGCGAAGGCGGUUCUCUGGGCAUUACCUGACGCUGAGGAGCGAAAGUGUGGGGAGCGAACAGG
rnacentral:rRNA from 1 species